UGUAGUGGACUUGCCAAGCUGGUGUGCUUUGUAACCAAGUAAUUAUGUUCCUGAUAAUGGUCUCCCCUGCCUGUUGUGUUUCAUCAGUAGAAACCUGCCUUUUGACCAGCCCGCCUGUUCUGUGGAUUACCCUUUUUGCCUGCUGAUUUCCUGUACCAUCGCAUUUACCCUUUAUCCCUACCUAAAACUGAAGCUAUGACCAUGUACAUAGAUGAGGCCCUACGCCCAGGAGCCCUCCGCCCAUCUGUCUCCUGCUGCCUCCAGCUUCUUUUCUUCCAAUCCUUCAUGAAUGGACCGGAGGAGAGGUCCUGGGUUCCUGUUCAGGACAUACAGCCCGCCUGUUCUGUGGAUUACCCUUUUUGCCUGCCGAUUUCCUGUACGGUCGCCCUCUCAUUCUGACCACUUGUUGCCGAAUCGGCCUGCUUGUUUUUCUGUUGAGUUUGCCUGUGCCCAUUUUGCUUGGCGACUAGAAUAAAGAAAUGUGCGUUCUGCAA